rnacentral:rRNA from 1 species
AGAAUCAACGCUGGCGGCGUGCCUAACACAUGCAAGUCGAACGCGAAAGUCCCGAAAGGGAUAAGUAGAGUGGCAAACGGGUGAGUAACACGUGGGUGACCUGCCUUCGAGCGGGGGAUAACGGUCCCGAAAGGGACGCUAAUACCGCAUAACAUCCUGCCUUUUAAGAGGUGGAGAUCAAAGCCGGGGACCGCAAGGCCUGGCACUUGAAGAGGGGCCCGCGUCUGAUUAGCUAGUUGGUGGGGUAAUGGCCUACCAAGGCAACGAUCAGUA